GCCAGGGUGGUGUAGCUUGGUUAACAUUCGGGCCUGUGGAGCCUGCGACCUGGGUUCAAAUCCCGGCCCUGGCC
rnacentral:tRNA from 1 species